CCGCCGCCGCUGCCACCGCCGCUACCGCUGCCGGCAGAGCUGCUGAGAGUGAGCAUCCCCUGUCCGGGACACCCAGCUUCGCCUCAGCUCCCGCGCGCCCGGGCCCCACACGGACCUGCCAGCCCCAGGGAACAAAAGCCGAGCUUCUCGUCCUCUCCUGCAGCCAGAGGAUGAGUCGAGAGGGCUGAGCGGAGAGUGUGGUCCUCAGCGGCUGGAAGCUAUGUCCUUGGCUUCUCUCGAUGAGGAUUCCUGACUUGUGGCCCUGGCAAUCUUGGGAAAACAACAUCCAAUUUCUUCAGUCUAGAGCCUGGGGCCUCCUUUUCCCCGGUGUCACCUCCACCCAGCCUGGAAGCAUUGACUGAACCAUUUUCUAGGACACCAUUCAGCAAGACAUGGUGGUAGACCCUGACUCUAAGUCUUCAUGAUUGAGGGACUCUUUCGCACAACAUAACAGCA